rnacentral:tRNA from 1 species
GCAUCCGUAGCUCAGCUGGAUCGAGUACUCGGCUACGAACCGAGCGGUCGGAGGUUCGAAUCCUCCCGGAUGCACCA